UGGAAAGAGGAUGCGCCGAUUCCAAGACUAGUCGUUGUCAAGAGCCUCAGGUGCUAGGAUGGCUUUCUUAGGAUUCCCCCACUGCUCUGAGGACCUACUUGGUCCAAUCCUAGGAAGAGUCUGAGAAACAUGUGGAGCUACAAAGCUUCAGCCAAGCCCAGCAUAUUCAGCUAAACUUCAGAACCCUUCACAUGUGCAAGCAAGGGCAGCUUGCAAUAGCUCAGCUCUACAGAUGUGUGGGAAUCAAUGCUUAUUGUUAUAUGACACAGUGUGUGUGGUUGCUUACUCCACAUCAAAAGCAAAGCCACCGUUUGAACCAUGCAAUAUGAUAGAAAGAGCCCAUGCCUCAAAGUUAACAACCCUGGCAGCGAAAUCCAGCCUGGAUUAAGAGAUGCAUUUCUUGAAACUCAGAGGACAAUGGCAUCUAUCUUACAGGAUCCUAGAGGAACUAAAAGAGAUCUGAGGUACAAAGCUUGGGUCGUCUGUCCUUUGAGGCUGUGGGAAGAAAAUAAAGACAUGGAGACUCCAGGAAUGAGAAGUGGUAGGAAACCCCUGGAGGCAGAUGCAGGCCCUGGAACCAUCAGAACCUGCAUGGAGCUGUUACUCAAGUCCACACAUGAUUCUUGUUCUCGGCAGGAUCUCCACAUGCCCUGUGCUAGAGGAAGCCAGAAGGAUGUCUCUC
rnacentral:lncRNA from 1 species